AAUAAAUAUAGCUUUGCACUAUUCAUCUCCAACGUUUAACCGUUCGUUUUAUUUGAAAAAAAAAUAUGAUUACUAUUUUUAUUGCUAUUAGAUGAUAAAAUAUGAAUAGUACUUUAUGUGUGACUAAUUUUUUUAAAAAAAAUUAUAAAAUUUUUAAAUAAGAUGGACAGUCAAACGUUGAACACGAAUUUUCACAACUGCAUUUAUU
rfam:Oryza barthii chromosome 3, whole genome shotgun sequence.